AUAUGUUUGGACCCAGAGAUUGAAUCUAUUCUAAGGUAAUCUGUUUGAAUUUUAGUAUGAAUUUUUCAAUUGCAUUUCUCACCAACUUACAAUUAUUUAUUUUUUAACUUUAAAUAGAUUAUAGGAUAACAUUCUGGAACAAAUUCCCCAAUAGCCUAAGUCUUUCAUGAUCCUGAAUCAGAAAGUAUAUUUUUAUAGCUCUUGUUCUGGCAAUUAAUCAUAGACCUCUUCACUGUUCACUGUAUAACUAACUGUCUUGCCUUCAUAAAGAGAUUAUAAAAACCUAGAAAUUGAGGUUAUAACAUUGCCAUAAUACCCAGUAUCUAGGGCUUGAUUGCUUUCUUUAAAAUGUUACUAAAAUUAAUAAUUUUUAAUAUUUCACUAGUAGCCUCAUAUGCCAAAAUCACUCACAACAAAGAUAAGAGUGAUUAGAAAAUUCUUAAAGUCUUUCUUCCCUUUCUUAUCUUGAAUGCUUAAAAACCAUGAGUCUUUAAAAAAUCUAAAAUGAAUAUAUUUCUUACAUUCUUCAUAUCUUGCAAAGGGAACCGUGUAAGUGUCUAAUAUAAAUUUUUAAAAGAAACAUAAGAAAGGACAAUUGUCAUCACUGAUGGCCAUAUUUAAAUAUUCCAGAGUCUGGAAUCAAGAGAAAUUUAGGUUAUUGAAAAUCACAAAGAGGACACCAAAACACUUUUACUGGUGUACUACAGGGUGGAAGGAGGAUUUGAUACAGAAGAAAGAAAUGCUAAAGCUAUCCGUUCCUGGUCCUGAGAGAUGACAAGUGAAGAAGAAAGGGAGCACGAGAAAGGCAGGGUUCUGUGUCUCUCUCCCCCUGGGCUCCCACACUUCAGAACAGCAGUCUUCAAACUGGACCUAGUUUCUGGGAGGUUCAAGGAACUGAUGACUCACUUAGAUUCCCUGAGUCAUCAGGAGAGAGUGCCUGAGGGCCAGAGGCUAGACUGGGAUUUAAGACAUCUGGAAUCUCACCUUGGCUGGCUCACUGGCUGUCUACAUAGGGCUACAUGUCUACUAUGGCUCAUAGGUUUGCCCGUAGGGUAAGUAAGCACUUUAUCGGUGAAGGGGACGUUUUGAAAUUCCUUCCAGAGAAGUCUGGCAUUCAUCUGAAGGUGGCCCAGAGGCCGGGGAGCCCUGGAAUUGUCCCAGCUGGCUCUUACUCUGCCAGGUAAAUAUUUUCAAGGACUAACAUGCUGAGUUUUAGACUGGCUAUUCAUAGAUUUGGCUGUUAGGCUUGCAGUGUUCUUGAGUUUCUUUUGUGUUAUAUUUGCAGAACCCCUGUGACUUUGUAGGUCCUACUUCUUUUCUGUGUGAGUAUGUGUUCUUCAAGACUGCAAGAGACUAGGGCUGGGUGGGACCACCUACCUGUUAAGAAAGUACAUUUCACGUCUACGCAAUAAGACGUUUAGAGGCAGAUGUCCUCAGAUUGGGAGGUGGCUUGAUGCCAUGCUCUUUCCUUCCUUCCACUCUGACAUAUGUGGCACGUUUAGGUUUUGUCCUCAGGUGUGAUGAUUCACGGUCACCACGUGGUUGCCACACUCCUAGGUAACAAGUCUUUACGUGGCCUUGUAAAUGUACAGAAGCAGAGGGAUUGCCACGAUGGCAGGAGAAAGCUCUUCUCCCAUGCCUGUCUCCGUUUACACAGGAACGAAAGUCUUUCCCAGAAGUCUCUCAACCUUACAUCUAUCUAUUUGGGCAGAACCAAGUCUCGUGGCCUCUCUGGCCUGCAAGUGUGGCUGGAAGAGGGGGCAUCUUGCUUUUCCAGCAUCUACCGUAACCAGCGGGCAAGGGAAGAGGUAAUGAAUAAUGACUAACCAAAGUGUCUGUCACAACUAACAAAUUCCUUUUCUUUUUUCCCCUUCUACUCCAUGGAACUCAUCGCCUGCCAGCAGCUUCCCGCAAUCCUAGGAAUGGACUCUGGCAGGCUCACCAUCAGGAAAGCUGUCACUUCCCAUCCAGGAUGGAAGAAUGGAGUUCUGAACUUUGUCAUGCUGUUUCUGAAAGGUGGUCGGCUCUUGUGCUUAGUGGAUGCAAAAGGUCUAUUUAAAUUGCUCUGAAGUUUACCCAGAAAAGUCCCACAAAACUGUGCAACCUGAGGAAGUGAGGGGGAAAGCAAUGGCACUGGCAUCACUUUGCUUCUUACAACCGCCUGGUAAAGGAGGCGGGUGGCCGUUCAUACUAACGCUUUUAAUAAUGAGGGAUGAACACUUCAAGGGGUUGAACAGUUCUAAUGCUAGGACUUGGAUGUGAACAGUUCCAUUUCUAGGCUCUGAAUGCCCAAAGGUGCUUGGACUGUAAGUUUUCUGCUUAAGACACAGUCAUUAUAGGUUCAUUGGUAGCUGGAAUUUAUCAUCUGAAAUACCUGAUCCCCCCUUUUAAAUCAUUAUUUCUCUGAUUUUCCUUGCUUUUGCACUGACAUUGUAUUUUGUUUGCUCUAAAUAGUUGGAGAAUGGCAGGGGAUGACAUGGUAAACAGGUGAUAUACAAUACAAUCAAUUCCAUGUCCUAAUUCCAGAAUAGAUUCUCUUUGAUAGGAAGCAGAUAGGUAGCAUUCUGGAAUCACUAUCAUGGCCAUUUCUCUUUGUUUAUAUUGGAUUCAGUAAAAUAGUGUA